GACGAACGCUGGCGGCGUGCUUAACACAUGCAAGUCAAACGGUAAGGCCCUUCGGGGUACACGAGUGGCGAACGGGCGAGUAACACGUGGGUGAUCGGCUCUGCACUUCGGGAUAAGCCUGGGAAACUGGGUCCAAUACCGGAUAGGACCACUGCCUGCAUGGGUGGUGGUGGAAAGCGUUUGCGGUGUGGGAUGGGCCCGCGGGCUAUCAGCUUGUUGGUGGGGUGAUGGCCUCCCAAGGCAACGACGGGUAGGCGGCCUGAGAGGGUGACCGGCCACACUGGGACUGAGAUACGGACCAGACUCCUACGGGAGGCAGCAGUGGGGAAUAUUGCACAAUGGGCGCAAGCCUGAUGCAGCGACGCCGCGUGAGGGAUGACGGCCUUCGGGUUGUAAACCUCUUUCAGCACCGACGAAGCGCAAGUGACGGUAGGUGCAGAAGAAGGACCGGCCAACUACGUGCCAGCAGCCGCCGUAACAC
rnacentral:rRNA from 1 species